ACUCCUACGGGAGGCAGCAGUGGGGAAUAUUGCACAAGGGUAACCGGGUAGCAUGCAGCCAUGCCGCGUGUGUGAAGAAGGCCUUCGGGUUGUAAAGCACUUUCAGUAGGGAGGAAGGUAGUGUAGUUAACACCUGCAUUAUUUGACGUUACCUACAGAAGAAGCACCGGCUAACUCCGUGCCAGCAGCCGCGGUAAUACGGAGGGUGCGAGCGUUAAUCGGAAUUACUGGGCGUAAAGCGCAUGCAGGUGGUUUGUUAAGUCAGAUGUGAAAGCCCGGGGCUCAACCUCGGAAUUGCAUUUGAAACUGGCAGACUAGAGUACUGUAGAGGGGGGUAGAAUUUCAGGUGUAGCGGUGAAAUGCGUAGAGAUCUGAAGGAAUACCGGUGGCGAAGGCGGCCCCCUGGCACAGAUACUGACACUCAGAUGCGAAAGCGUGGGAGC
rnacentral:rRNA from 1 species